UACGUAGGGUCCGAGCGUUGUCCGGAGUUACUGGGCGUAAAGCGCGCGCAGGCGGCGGUGUUGGCCCGGCGUGAAAGCCCCCGGCUCAACCGGGGAGAGUCGUCGGGGACCGCACCGCUUGAGGGCGGUAGGGGCUGGUGGAAUGCCUGGUGUAGUGGUGAAAUGCGUAGAGAUCAGGCAGAACACCUGGGGCGAAGGCGGCCAGCUGGGCCGUCCCUGACGCUGAGGCGCGAAGGCGUGGGGAGCAAACAGG
rnacentral:rRNA from 1 species